rnacentral:rRNA from 2 species
AAAGCUAUUUAGGUAGCGCCUCGUGAAUUCAUCUCCGGGGGUAGAGCACUGUUUCGGCUAGGGGGCCAUCCCGGCUUACCAACCCGAUGCAAACUGCGAAUACCGGAGAAUGUUAUCACGGGAGACACACGGCGGGUGCUAACGUCCGUCGUGAAGAGGGAAACAACCCAGACCGCCAGCUAAGGUCCCAAAGUCAUGGUUAAGUGGGAAACGAUGUGGGAAGGCCCAGACAGCCAGGAUGUUGGCUUAGAAGCAGCCAUCAUUUAAAGAAAGCGUAAUAGCUCACUGGUCGAGUCGGCCUGCGCGGAAGAUGUAACGGGGCUAAACCAUG